CAGAGUUGCAAAACUCCCAAACCAUUGUGGACGAACUUGACAGUUGCUUCGGCAGGUCAGCUCAGCGCUGCGCGGUGGCUCCUCGCGAGCCCGCCUGCCGGAGUCACUUAAACUCUUGAUUAUUGUUGGCAUCUCUGAGUAACUUAUAUAAUAAGUCA
rnacentral:misc_RNA from 1 species